rnacentral:rRNA from 1 species
CAGACUCCUACGGGAGGCAGCAGUAGGGAAUCUUCCACAAUGGACGCAAGUCUGAUGGAGCAACGCCGCGUGAGUGAAGAAGGGUUUCGGCUCGUAAAGCUCUGUUGUUAAAGAAGAACGUGGGUGAGAGUAACUGUUCACCCAGUGACGGUAUUUAACCAGAAAGCCACGGCUAACUACGUGCCAGCAGCCGCGGUAAUACGUAGGUGGCAAGCGUUAUCCGGAUUUAUUGGGCGUAAAGCGAGCGCAGGCGGUCUUUUAAGUCUAAUGUGAAAGCCUUCGGCUCAACCGAAGAAGUGCAUUGGAAACUGGGAGACUUGAGUGCAGAAGAGGACAGUGGAACUCCAUGUGUAGCGGUGAAAUGCGUAGAUAUAUGGAAGAACACCAGUGGCGAAGGCGGCUGUCUGGUCUGUAACUGACGCUGAGGCUCGAAAGCAUGGGUAGCGAACAGGAUUAGAUACCCUGGUAGUCCAUGCCGUAAACGAUGAUUACUAAGUGUUGGAGGGUUUCCGCCCUUCAGUGCUGCAGCUAACGCAUUAAGUAAUCCGCCUGGGGAGUACGACCGCAAGGUUGAAACUCAAAAGAAUUGACGGGGGCCCGCACAAGCGGUGGAGCAUGUGGUUUAAUUCGAAGCUACGCGAAGAACCUUACCAGGUCUUGACAUCUUCUGCCAACCUAAGAGAUUAGGCGUUCCCUUCGGGGACAGAAUGACAGGUGGUGCAUGGUUGUCGUCAGCUCGUGUCGUGAGAUGUUGGGUUAAGUCCCGCAACGAGCGCAACCCUUAUUACUAGUUGCCAGCAUUCAGUUGGGCACUCUAGUGAGACUGCCGGUGACAAACCGGAGGAAGGUGGGGACGACGUCAAAUCAUCAUGCCCCUUAUGACCUGGGCUACACACGUGCUACAAUGGAUGGUACAACGAGUCGCGAAACCGCGAGGUUUAGCUAAUCUCUUAAAACCAUUCUCAGUUCGGACUGUAGGCUGCAACUCGCCUACACGAAGUCGGAAUCGCUAGUAAUCGCGGAUCAGCAUGCCGCGGUGAAUACGUUCCCGGGCCUUGUACACACCGCCCGUCACACCA